rnacentral:rRNA from 1 species
UAUCUCUGUAGAGUCUGCAUAUCAAUAAGCGGAGGAAAAGAAACUAACAAGGAUUCCCUUAGUAACGGCGAGUGAAGCGGGAAGAGCUCAAAUUUGAAAUCUUCAAGGUUCUACCUUGACGAAUUGUAGUUUAAAGAAGUGUUUUCUGUUAGAUGAGUAGCAAAAGUUCCUUGGAAUGGGACAUCAUAGAGGGUGAGAAUCCCGUAUUUGGUUAUUCAUUCUAGCUUUGUGAUACACUUUCAAAGAGUCGGAUUGUUUGGGAAUGCAGUCCAAAAUGGGUGGUAAAUUUCAUCUAAAGCUAAAUAUUGGCGAGAGACCGAUAGCGAACAAGUACCGUGAGGGAAAGAUGAAAAGAACUUUGAAAAGAAAGUUAAACAGUACGUGAAAUUGUCAAAAGGGAAGCGUUUGACACCAGUGUUGUUUUCUCGAAAAUCAAUUACAAAUGGCUUGAUUUUGUGUUGUAUUGACCUUAUCAAGCUUUCUUCACUUUUUUCGAGUCUUUCUUAAUGCACUUUUCGUUAACAAGUCAACAUCAGGUUUCUUUUGUUGUAAAAAGAGUCAUUCGGAAGGUGGCUUUCUUUUCGGAGAAAGUGUUUAUAGCCCUAUACUUCUACAAUCGGAGAGAUUGAGGUCUGCAGCGUAGAUCCUUCGGGGUUAGAUACACUUGUGCUAAGUUGUAGCUUUUCAUAGACAACUUGUUGACUAUGUUUAGUCAUGCGGCUUACUCGCUUGUGCUAUUUUACCUACGCUUAGGAUGUUGACUGAUAUGUAGUCGU